GAUAAACGCUGGCGGCGCGCAUAAGACAUGCAAGUCGAACGGAAGUCGUUAUAAAAAGGAUUGAAGAUUUAUCUGAUUGAGAUUUUAUAACAAUGGCUUUAGUGGCGGACUGGUGAGUAACGCGUGAGUAACCUGCCUAUCAGAGGGGAAUAACAGUGAGAAAUCAUUGCUAAUACCGCAUAUGCCAUAAACAUCACAUGAUGAAAGUGGGAAAGGAGCAAUCCGCUGAUAGAUGGGCUCGCGUCUGAUUAGAUAGUUGGUGGGGUAACGGCCUACCAAGUCGACGAUCAGUAGCCGGACUGAGAGGUUGAACGGCCACAUUGGGACUGAGAUACGGCCCAGACUCCUACGGGAGGCAGCAGUCGGGAAUAUUGCGCAAUGGAGGAAACUCUGACGCAGUGACGCCGCGUAUAGGAAGAAGGUUUUCGGAUUGUAAACUAUUGUCGUUAGGGAAGAUAAAAGACAGUACCUAAGGAGGAAGCUCCGGCUAACUACGUGCCAGCAGCCGCGGUAAUACGUAGGGAGCAAGCGUUAUCCGGAUUUAUUGGGUGUAAAGGGUGCGUAGACGGGAAAUUAAGUUAGUUGUGAAAUCCCUCGGCUCAACUGAGGAACUGCAACUAAAACUGAUUUUCUUGAGUGUUGGAGAGGAAAGUGGAAUUCCUAGUGUAGCGGUGAAAUGCGUAGAUAUUAGGAGGAACACCAGUGGCGAAGGCGACUUUCUAGACAAUAACUGACGUUGAGGCACGAAAGUGUGGGGAGCAAACAGGAUUAGAUACCCUGGUAGUCCACACCGUAAACGAUGGAUACUAGGUGUAGGAAGCGAUUAUGUUUUCUGUGCCGUCGCAAACGCAGUAAGUAUCCCACCUGAGGAGUACGGCCGCAAGGUUGAAACUCAAAGGAAUUGACGGGGGCCCGCACAAGCAGUGGAGUAUGUGGUUUAAUUCGAAGCAACGCGAAGAACCUUACCAGGGCUUGACAUAUACAGGAAUAUGUUAGAGAUAGCAUAGCUCUUCGGAGUCUGUAUACAGGUGGUGCAUGGUUGUCGUCAGCUCGUGUCGUGAGAUGUUGGGUUAAGUCCCGCAACGAGCGCAACCCCUGUUUCUAGUUGCCAGCACGUAAAGGUGGGAACUCUAGAGAGACUGCCGGUGAUAAAUCGGAGGAAGGUGGGGACGACGUCAAAUCAUCAUGCCCUAUAUGUCCUGGGCUACACACGUACUACAAUGGCUGUAACAGAGGGAAGCAACAUAGAGAUGUGAAGCAAAUCCCAAAAAGCAGUCUCAGUUCGGAUUGAAGGCUGAAAUUCGCCUUCAUGAAGCCGGAAUUGCUAGUAAUGGCAGGUCAGCAUACUGCCGUGAAUACGUUCCCGGGCCUUGUACACACCGCCCGUC
rnacentral:rRNA from 1 species